AUACGGAGGGUCCAAGCGUUAUCCGGAUUCAUUGGGUUUAAAGGGUCCGCAGGCGGGAAAAUAAGUCAGUGGUGAAAGCCUACAGCUCAACUGUAGAACUGCCAUUGAUACUGUUUUUCUUGAGUAUAGAUGAAGUGGGCGGAAUAUAUCAUGUAGCGGUGAAAUGCAUAGAUAUGAUAUAGAACACCGAUUGCGAAGGCAGCUCACUAAACUAUUACUGACGCUCAGGGACGAAAGCGUGGGGAGCGAACAGGAUUAGAAACCCUGGUAGUCC
rnacentral:rRNA from 1 species